GUGAUGACGAGGCACUACGGUGCUGAAGUAACAAAUGCCCUGCUUCCAGGAAAAGCCUCUAAGCAUCAGGUAACAUCAAAUCGUACCCCAAACCGACACAGGUGGUCAGGUAGAGAAUACCAAGGCGCUUGAGAGAACUCGGGUGAAGGAACUAGGCAAAAUGGUGCCGUAACUUCGGGAGAAGGCACGCUGGUGUGUAGGUGAAGUCCCUGCGGAUGGAGCUGAGACCAGUCGAAGAUACCAGCUGGCUGCAACUGUUUAUUAAAAACACAGCACUGUGCAAACACGAAAGUGGACGUAUACGGUGUGACGCCUGCCCGGUGCCGGAAGGUUAAUUGAUGGGGUUAUCCGUAAGGAGAAGCUCUUGAUCGAAGCCCCGGUAAACGGCGGCCGUAACUAUAACGGUCCUAAGGUAGCGAAAUUCCUUGUCGGGUAAGUUCCGACCUGCACGAAUGGCGUAAUGAUGGCCAGGCUGUCUCCACCCGAGACUCAGUGAAAUUGAACUCGCUGUGAAGAUGCAGUGUACCCGCGGCAAGACGGAAAGACCCCGUGAACCUUUACUAUAGCUUGACACUGAACAUUGAGCCUUGAUGUGUAGGAUAGGUGGGAGGCUUUGAAGCGUGGACGCCAGUCUGCGUGGAGCCAACCUUGAAAUACCACCCUUUAAUGUUUGAUGUUCUAACGUUGGCCCCUGACCGGGGUUGCGGACAGUGUCUGGUGGGUAGUUUGACUGGGGCGGUCUCCUCCCAAAGCGUAACGGAGGAGCACGAAGGUUAGCUAAUCCUGGUCGGACAUCAGGAGGUUAGUGCAAUGGCAUAAGCUAGCUUGACUGCGAGCGUGACGGCGCGAGCAGGUGCGAAAGCAGGUCAUAGUGAUCCGGUGGUUCUGAAUGGAAGGGCCAUCGCUCAACGGAUAAAAGGUACUCCGGGGAUAACAGGCUGAUACCGCCCAAGAGUUCAUAUCGACGGCGGUGUUUGGCACCUCGAUGUCGGCUCAUCACAUCCUGGGGCUGAAGUAGGUCCCAAGGGUAUGGCUGUUCGCCAUUUAAAGUGGUACGCGAGCUGGGUUUAGAACGUCGUGAGACAGUUCGGUCCCUAUCUGCCGUGGGCGCUGGAGAAUUGAGGGGGGCUGCUCCUAGUACGAGAGGACCGGAGUGGACGCAUCACUGGUGUUCGGGUUGUCAUGCCAAUGGCACUGCCCGGUAGCUAAAUGCGGAAGAGAUAAGUGCUGAAAGCAUCUAAGCACGAAACUUGCCCCGAGAUGAGUUCUCCCUGAGACUUUAAGUCUCCUGAAGGAACGUUGAAGACGACGACGUUGAUAGGCCGGGUGUGUAAGCGCAGCGAUGCGUUGAGCUAACCGGUACUAAUGAACCGUGAGGCUUAACC
rnacentral:rRNA from 1 species